GUCAAGAGGGCUGUGAUGAAUAGAGCUGGGCACGGGACGCUGUCCUGGUUAAGCCAUCUGAAUGGUGCCCUGCAGACCUGGGUUCUGCCAAAAGCCUGCUCUGUGAGCCUGGAGUGCGGAGCACUUCCAGCUGCAACGCCUGCUGGUGGGCUGUGAACCCAGGAAGAGCCACGCCGAGCUAGGGGCUGUAAAACCUGCCGGUUCCGACUGGGCACGGUGGGAUCUCACAGCUCUUUCUGGCAGCCUCCUGAUGGUGAGAGCCAGGAUCCUGGAUCCCAUUCCCGGACCUGGAAAGCCGUCAGCUCUGCGCCAGGCUUCCCACACUGCCGCUGCUGCUUCGUCCCACCGUCUUCACCCAGCCCAUCAGACUUCACUGAACGUCAAUCAGUCAUCAGACUUCCUUUCCCUAUGGCUGC